UACGAAGGGGGCUAGCGUUGCUCGGAAUCACUGGGCGUAAAACGCACGUAGGCGGAUUGUUAAGUCAGGGGUGAAAUCCUGGAGCUCAACUCCAGAACUGCCUUUGAUACUGGCGAUCUCGAGUCCGGGAGAGGUGAGUGGAACUGCGAGUGUAGAGGUGAAAUUCGUAGAUAUUCGCAAGAACACCAGUGGCGAAGGCGGCCACCUGGACGACAACUGACGCUGAGACGCGAAAGCGUGGGUAGCAAACAGG
rnacentral:rRNA from 1 species